GCCUACGGGGGGCAGCAGUGAGGAAUAUUGGUCAAUGGGAGAGAUCCUGAACCAGCCAAGCCGCGUGAGGGAGGACGGCCCUAAGGGUUGUAAACCUCUUUUGUCGGAGAACAAAACCCGGGACGUGUCCCGGACUGCGUGUAUCCGAAGAAAAAGCAUCGGCUAACUCCGUGCCAGCAGCCGCGGUAGUACGGAGGAUGCGAGCGUUAUCCGGAUUUAUUGGGUUUAAAGGGUGCGUAGGCGGUCCGUUAAGUCAGCGGUAAAAUUGCGGGGCUCAACCUCGUCGAGCCGUUGAUACUGGCAGA
rnacentral:rRNA from 1 species